AUUGAACGCUGGCGGCAGGCCUAACACAUGCAAGUCGAGCGGAUGAAGGGAGCUUGCUCCUGGCUUCAGCGGCGGACGGGUGAGUAAUGCCUAGGAAUCUGCCUGGUAGUGGGGGAUAACGUCCGGAAACGGGCGCUAAUACCGCAUACGUCCUGAGGGAGAAAGUGGGGGAUCUUCGGACCUCACGCUAUCAGAUGAGCCUAGGUCGGAUUAGCUAGUUGGUGGGGUAAAGGCCUACCAAGGCGACGAUCCGUAACUGGUCUGAGAGGAUGAUCAGUCACACUGGAACUGAGACACGGUCCAGACUCCUACGGGAGGCAGCAGUGGGGAAUAUUGGACAAUGGGCGAAAGCCUGAUCCAGCCAUGCCGCGUGUGUGAAGAAGGUCUUCGGAUUGUAAAGCACUUUAAGUUGGGAGGAAGGGCAGUGAGUUAAUACCUUGCUGUUUUGACGGUACCAACAGAAUAAGCACCGGCUAACUUCGUG
rnacentral:rRNA from 1 species